UGGUCAAGUAUUGGCUGAAGGUGGCCGCU
rnacentral:piRNA from 1 species